rnacentral:tRNA from 1 species
GCGGGCGUGUUGAAAUUGGUAGACAAGCCAGACUUAGGAUCUGGUGCCGAGAGGCGUAUGGGUUCGAUUCCCUUCGCCCGCACAA